rnacentral:lncRNA from 1 species
GUGUAACAAUAGGUGGUGAUGGUACAACUGGGGGUAGUGGAACAUAAGGUGGAGGGUAAACAAUUGGUGGUUUCACAAUAGGAGGUGUUGGAACAUAAGGUGGAGGGUAAACAAUUGGUGGUUUCACAAUAGGAGGUUUUGGAACAUAAGGUGGAGGGUAAACAAUGGGUGGUUUUGGCACAUAAGGUGGUGUCACCGGUACAACCGGUGGCUUAGGCACAUAUGGCGGUGUAACUGGUACAACAGGUGGUUUUGGCACAUAAGGUGGAGAAACAACUGGUGGCUUAGGAACAUAAGGUGGUGGUUUCACAACUGGUGGUUUAGGCACAUAAGGAGGUUUCACAAUUGGUGGUUUGGGAACAUGGGGUGGUUUUGGCACAUAAGGUGGUUUCACAAUUG